AUUUUUUAGGUCCUCUUCAUAAAAAAAAUUUGUGGACUUAGUCGCGGACUGGCUUAACAUAAAUUUGGGCUCUAGUGGUUUGACAUCGUCACAGGUAUUCUUUUAGAAAUGCACCUAUUUAUAUGUCAAUGCUCCUAUUAUCUAAGAUUGGUCACUGAAAUGUGGAUUGUGUAAUUAAUGAAGACCCAGAUUUCUAGAACAUUAUGAACUAGAUCCGUAUAUAUUUUGGGUUUUCUGUUCCAAAUAUCACUUCUGUUAACAUUAAAGAUGCUAUUUACAGUGAUGAAGCAAUUUUUUAGGAAUGUGGAUGUUUAGUUAUUAUUUAUUCUAUGUUAUUUCUUCUCAGGCUCUACGCAUCUGGGCAUCUAUAGAAGUUCUCUGGAUGUAACUGAUGAUAGAAUUUUCUUCUUGAGACAUGCAUUUGUACUUCCGUUUUUUCCAUUUGAUUAUGUAUUCACAAAAUUAUGCAGGGUGGGAUGCGGGUCUAUAUUUGCGAUCCUGACACAUCACCUCCAGGUCUUAUAUUCAAUAAAAUCUAAUUAAUUUUUGUUUCUGCUAGUAAAUGUUGCAUUUAUUGUGAUGGGUUGGAGUGGUCUUUUUUUGCACGUGGAAAAUAGCACGGACAUUCGUGCAAAUCCCAUUUGACUGAGUUGUUGAUAUCUGCACAUGCUUAUCACUUUCAUAUUAUUAUACUGGGUCUGAAACUUCAAUCUUGAGUUAUAUUCAAUUUUUGAUUGUUCUAG
rnacentral:lncRNA from 1 species